rnacentral:rRNA from 1 species
AUACGGAGGGGACUAGCGUUGUUCGGAAUUACUGGGCGUAAAGCGUACGUAGGCGGAUCAGAAAGUAUGGGGUGAAAUCCCAGGGCUCAACCCUGGAACUGCCUCAUAAACUCCUGGUCUUAGUUCGAGAGAGGUGAGUGGAAUUCCGAGUGUAGAGGUGAAAUUCGUAGAUAUUCGGAGGAACACCAGUGGCGAAGGCGGCUCACUGGCUCGAUACUGACGCUGAGGUACGAAAGUGUGGGGAGCAAACAGGAUUAGAAACCCUAGUAGUCC